GUGCAAAAUGAUGGAAACUGUUUCACCUGAUCAAUGUGAAGAAUUUGAUUCAAAGGAACCACUGAUGCAC